AACGAACGCUGGCGGCAUGCCUAACACAUGCAAGUCGAACGAUUGCCUUCGGGUGAUAGUGGCGCACGGGUGCGUAACGCGUGGGAAUCUGCCCUUAGGUUCGGAAUAACAGCUGGAAACGGCUGCUAAUACCGGAUGAUAUCGCGAGAUCAAAGAUUUAUCGCCUGAGGAUGAGCCCGCGUUGGAUUAGGUAGUUGGUGGGGUAAAGGCCUACCAAGCCGACGAUCCAUAGCUGGUCUGAGAGGAUGAUCAGCCACACUGGGACUGAGACACGGUCCAGACUCCUACGGGAGGCAGCAGUGGGGAAUAUUGGACAAUGGGCGCAAGCCUGAUCCAGCAAUGCCGCGUGAGUGAUGAAGGCCCUAGGGUUGUAAAGCUCUUUUACCCGGGAAGAUAAUGACGGUACCGGGAGAAUAAGCCCCGGCUAACUCCGUG
rnacentral:rRNA from 1 species